AGUGAACGCUGGCGGUAGGCCUAACACAUGCAAGUCGAACGGCAGCACAGUAAGAGCUUGCUCUUACGGGUGGCGAGUGGCGGACGGGUGAGGAAUACAUCGGAAUCUACUUUUUCGUGGGGGAUAACGUAGGGAAACUUACGCUAAUACCGCAUACGACCUACGGGUGAAGGCAGGGGAUCUUCGGACCUUGCGCGAUUGAAUGAGCCGAUGUCGGAUUAGCUAGUUGGCGGGGUAAAGGCCCACCAAGGCGACGAUCCGUAGCUGGUCUGAGAGGAUGAUCAGCCACCCUGGAACUGAGACACGGUCCAGACUCCUACGGGAGGCAGCAGUGGGGAAUAUUGGACAAUGGGCGCAAGCCUGAUCCAGCCAUACCGCGUGGGUGAAGAAGGCCUUCGGGUUGUAAAGCCCUUUUGUUGGGAAAGAAAAGCAGCAGGUUAAUACCCCGCUGUUCUGACGGUACCCAAAGAAUAAGCACCGGCUAACUUCGUG
rnacentral:rRNA from 1 species